GUGUAUGGUCAUGCCACCCUGAACAAGCCCGAUCCCAUCUGAUCUUGGAAGCUAAGCAGGGUUGGGCCUGGUUAGUACUUGGAUGGGAGACUACCUAGGAAGACCAGGUGCUGUAGGCA
rnacentral:rRNA from 1 species